AUCAUCUUCCGCGUGAGAAUGAGCGAGCAGCAGCGGCAAGGAAUGGCAGCCCUCCGGCGUUCCAACGCCGCUCUCAGGCUGCUCCUGCGCUUGCAAUCGGCAGCCCUGCCAGGCAUUCUUCUCGACGACCCAAAUCAUUCCAUCUCUUUCUUGGAUCUGAUCGAUUUUCACGUUGCUUGCAGCGGAGGCGAGCAACCACCAUCGUCCGAGGCGAGAGGCACCACCAGCUCGGGUAGUUUCCAGUUUCUUGCUUCUUCUAGACUAGCUUCGCUUCGCUUGAUUCUUGCAGAGCCACGAUUCUGCAGCCACUGCUGAGGGGGAUCCACGACGAACUUUGGUGGCGGAUUGCUGCCGCAUGCUGCUGUUCCUGGUGACAGUCGCGGCGAUCGGCUUCAUUC
rnacentral:lncRNA from 1 species